GAUCCGUGUUCAGGUUUUGCAAAGCCUGUAAAGAAUGACAAGGUUUAAAUAGUCACGUUUGUUCCUCCCGUCCCACCUGUUUCUUCCACACGGACUCCAACUCCCAUGAUCCUCUGAACAGUUUAAUCAGACGCAAUUGUAACGUUGAGCGGUAAGGAGGCGGACGCGUCUGCGGGGAAGAGCGAGAUUUAUUAGGUGCAAAUCCAAAUUCAGAGUUGUUAUAGCAGUCCAGGGACAUUGAGAUUACGGGGAUACAUGAUGAGCCAAAGAUACAAGUACACGAACGCAGACAGGGGAAGCAGGCUACAACCGAAACUAGGAAAUAACAAACGGAGAUUGCCCCGGAAGGGGCGGCUCCUGAUGCCCCAAGACCAGCCGCACAAUCCCGCCGAAAAGCCCGAAUGAGGUCAUGGUCCAGGAUGUGACAGAAGGGGACCCAGAUCUGCUCUUCGGGCCCAUGUCUCUCCCAGUCCAGCAAAUACUCGACUCCAUCACAAACCCGCCGGAUGUCCAAGAGACGCUUGACCAUGUACGUCGGUACACUGUCCACCAUGCGUGGAGCCGGCGGGUCGGAGGAGCCCACCGAACACAAUACUGGCCUAAGCCCCUGUUACUCUGGACCCCAACACUGCCCAUCCUCGCCUACACUUGUCUGAUGAUCUCACUACUGUAGAAUACAGACCACAGACAUCACUGCUUCCUGAUAAACCGGAGAGAUAUGAUGAGUCUCUGAGGGCUUUUAACUCAGAGAAGCACAGCUGGUACACUGAGGGUUAAAUGUAUGUCUACACUGAGAAAGAGACGAUCGUUCUGGGAUUCCCAGUGACAGUAAAACAUUGAUGAAAACUCAACGCACUGUUCAGGACAAGGAGUUCACCACCUGAUACCUACAGAGAAACUGCCGAGGGUGAGAGCGCAGCUGGACUGGGACAGAGGGAACGGGGCAUUCACUGAACUUCUAACCAGUACACACCUGCACACUACAACACACACCUUUACUGACACACUUUUCUCAUUAUUUAUGGAUUUAUUUUUUUUUUCCUCAGAAAAUCUUACCAGUAAAAAUAGCAGUAUGAGUAGAAAACCAGUCUGUGGUUUGCUGAACAUGUCAGUGUCUACUGCGUGUCUAAGAUGUUGUAUUACCUGUAAGAACUCGGUGAAUAUUGAGUCACAGCAGUAUUGAGUGGUUUGCUAUCAUGUAAAGCAGAGGUUCCCAGUCCUGGUCCUCCAGUUCCCAUUGUGGUGAGAUCCCUGUAAACCCAGAGUGAGACUGGACCCAUUACGGACCCGAACACUGAACACUGUGGAGCUGAAUGGACCACUGCUACCACCUGCAUGUUUACACAGGGGUUUAUGGGGUCAGUGUUAGUGUACAGCUGAUUUAUUUUUCUUUGACCUUUGGCCACAGAAGUGAGGCUGUCCUUUAAGGUCAGUAAGACAGACUCUCAUAUUUCCUCAGAUCUUAGAGUGGAACUGAGAACAAUGCUUGUGGACACAUGACAGUAAUCUCAUUCAUCAUCUUAGAGUGGCAGGUUGGAGAGAGGUGCAAGGCUGUUAUGGUUGGAGUUCUUUUUGUUUAUAAUUAUACCCAUUUCAGUAUGUCAGAUUAUUCUGGGCACACAUUUAGAAAAUAGAGACAUUUGAGCCAGUAUAUCAUAGCACAUCUGCUGCAGAUGAAGCAAGAUGGCAGUGCCCAUCGAGACCUACCUUAAAACAGCAGCUUUACUCACAAAUUACUACAGGUCAUUUUUAUACUGUAUUGACGAACAUGGAGGCAACCUUUUCUAUUUCGUCAGAGUUCAGAAUUGUUUAAUGUCAUCCGGAACUGUCCUGCACAUCUGUGGCCUAUGGAACUAUAGAGUGAGCCAUUCUGGCCCAGGCCAUCUGCCAAGCACUGUAAAUGUAAGAAUACCAAACUAUGAGAUCCCUCUUGUGAUAAAUCUCUCCACUGCAGAAAUAAUACUUUAACCAAUAGUAGGUGAGGGACAGCUACAGCUGAAAAACAAGCUCACAGAGCCUGGCUUGUCUGGGACCAUAAAAAGAUGUUCAACACUUAAUCACUACACUUAAUCGUGCGCUUCGUGUGCAGCCACAUUCCAGUCUUCGAUGCAGUUACACUGCCUUCAAAACUCAACUGAGACAAAGUCACAUCACGCUCUGAAAUGCACGAAAAGUGCUAAAGCGCUCU